rnacentral:rRNA from 1 species
AUUGAACGCUAGCGGGAUGCUUUACACAUGCAAGUCGAACGAGUGGCGGACGGGUGAGUAAUAUAUCGGAACGUGCCCAGUAGCGGGGGAUAACUACUGGAAACGGUAGCUAAUACCGCAUACAAUCGGAUGUGCCCAGAUGGGAUUAGCUUGUUGGUGGGGUAACGGCUCAACAAGGCGACGAUCCCUAGCUGGUCUGAGAGGAUGACCAGCCACACUGUAACUGAGACACGGUCCAGUCGCCUACGAGAGGCAGCAGUGGGGAAUAUUGCACAAUGGGCGCAAUCCUGAUGCAGCCAUGCCGCGUGUAUGAAGAAGGCCUUCGGGUUGUAAAGUACUUUCAGCGGGGAUGCGUUACCCGCAGAAGAAGCACCGGCUAACUCCGUGCCAGCAGCCGCGGUAAUUC